GAUGAACGCUAGCGGCAGGCCUAACACAUGCAAGUCGAGGGGUAACAGGGUAGCAAUAUCGCUGACGACCGGCGCACGGGUGAGUAACGCGUAUGCAACCUUCCUUUAACUGGGGGAUAGCCCGGAGAAAUUCGGAUUAAUACCCCAUAACAUCAUGAGAAGGCAUCUUUUUAUGAUUAAAGCUCCGGCGGUUAAAGAUGGGCAUGCGUGCCAUUAGCUAGUUGGUGAGGUAAUUGCUCACCAAGGCUACGAUGGCUAGGGGGUCUGAGAGGAUGAUCCCCCACACUGGUACUGAGACACGGACCAGACUCCUACGGGAGGCAGCAGUGAGGAAUAGUGGGCAAUGGGCGCAAGCCUGACCCAGCCAUGCCGCGUGAAGGAUGAAUGCCCUAUGGGUUGUAAACUUCUUUUGUACGGGACGAAACUCCUGGUCGUGACCGGGAUUGACUGUACCGUGCGAAUAAGCAUCGGCUAACUCCGUGCCAGCCGCCGCCGUAAGAC
rnacentral:rRNA from 1 species